UAUCGGUCUUCACUAACAUGCAAAACAAACAAAAUCUAAACAAUGCAAUUAAUAGAAGUGACGGGAAAUAUAUGAUGUUUUGGUGGCUAUUGGUGACCUAGCCAAGCACGCCCACCCAACCAAGGAUGCCCCGGAUGAUUCUGCGGAGGUAUCACCCAUCAUAUGCUGGUCGAAGUCACUCCUCGCGACUAGGACAGCUCCAUCUCCCCCACAGCGACAACUCACUCGCACAUUUCGGUCUUCAUGUACAUUUAAUAUCCACACCUCUACGACCAAACUUGGCCACCGUCUCCAAAUUUAACCGGUCAAAGCGGAAGAUUA